rnacentral:lncRNA from 1 species
UUUUAUUCUACCGCACGUCCACACGACCACGCCGGUUCUCUCUCUGUUGUCUCUGUCGUUUCAUCUUCCCUUUUCUCUCUCUACUUCCUCUCGGAGAAAGAACCUGGAUCCGGCGGUGGCAGCGAAAGACGAUCGACGGAUCCCUUCGGACCGAUCAAGUCCGGCGCCGGCGCACGGGGGGGAUUCUCGGCGGUGGCCGGAUCCGUAAAGAUGAGCUUCUGCAAUUUGCCCGGCACUCCUUCGACUUCCCCGGCGCCACCAUGGAAUUAGCAGGUCAAGGUGAGCAUAGCCUUCUUUGAACUCCAGAGCGGCCAGUAGCCUGCCUCCGUAGAAAGACGGGGAUGCAUAUCCGUGCUCCUCCCCGCCGGAUCCUGACAGCUAGGCCCGUACCUACAAGUUGGAGGCCCUAUAAUGAAACCCGUAGGGAGGCUCUAAAUAUUGAAAAUGUGGCAAAACUAAAGAAUUGUUUCACUUUAAGUAUAAAAACACUAUAAAUGUUAUUUCUUAAGAUACUUAGGAACAUAUCAAAUAUUAAUGCAAAAAAGUAAAGAUAGUACUCAAGCAACUAAUUAACUGACCUCAUGUUCUACUGAAAAGCAUCAUUCUUUUGGUAUUCGUGAAGUGAAAUCCUCAAUUAUAUCUUCAUACUUAAUUUUCUCUAAGAUAUCAUUUUCAAGUGCAAUUAUGGCCAAUGCAAUGAGUCUUUCUUGUGUGAUGGUAGCUCGUAAGUAGGAUUUCAGCAAUUUGAGUUUAGGCAAACUCCUUUCAGCAGAUGCAACCGUGUGAUGGUGUGCAACGAAAAAACUCAAACCAGCAAAAUCAAUCAACUAACAAACCAGCAAAAUCAAUCAACUAGUGUCAGGGGCCUCAAGGGCAUUAUUCAUGCGUGUGUAUUGGCUAUUAGGCUUUCAAGUUGCUGGGCUUUCAUACGUGCAUGUGCAGUCUUUUUUAUAUUUGAUUAAGCUUUGUCAGUUAGUACUAAUUAGAGAUUUGGAGGCCCUGAACCGUCGCCCAUGUUGCACCUGCUAGUGUACGGGCCUGCUGACAGCGACAGGGUCCGAAAGGCGACGGCGCUCGUGAAGACCGGCGGCGGCGGGUUUGUGACAGCGCUUGUUGGAUCCACGCCCUUCCCCAACAUUCCGCGACAUGGUGAUUGGUGAAUCCAUGGCAGGUGUGGUAUGCAAACGAUGCAUCCGCAUCCUUCCCCACAGUUGCCUUCCAGUGACUGCGGGUGCGAGGGUCCUCGACAUCUGCCAGGACUUGGUGCCUUCCCCAAGCUUCCCACGGCGAACAACUGCCGGCAAGCAUCACGCCGACGAGCUCCGCAUCUCAUGGAUUUUUUGUUGUGUUCUCUCUUAUUUUCUAAAGAAUUUGGGUAUCAUAAAAAAUGCCCGUCAAAUUUAGAUUGGACCAAAUGAAAUAGUUAGGGGAGUGAAGUGAGCCUAAAUUUUGGUCAGGGGUUAAACGAACAAAGCUAACAAGUGAGAGGAGUAAAAUGAACUUUUUCCUAUUUUCUAAAUGAAAAGUUAAAGUUCCACGGUCCCACAUGCUGGAAAUGAGAGGGGUUCCUUAGUCCACUUAUACUAUUACUACUUCGUGUCUAAAGCACGUCUAUUAACUUAUCACUACUGGGAAAACUGAUUAUUUGUCCCGAGUCUAAGUACCGGUUGCAUUUUGACCCGGUACUAAUGUGAGCAUUAUUACCGGGCCAACGGAUAGUUCACAAGGAGCCGCCCGUGAAGCCCUUUAGCAACCGGUACUAAAGGGUCCACAUUAGUACCGGUUGGUGCCCCGCAACCCGAUACUAAUGUGCCACCCCACUUUAAUACCGGGUGGGGGCACCAACCGAUACUAAUAUGGGUGC